rnacentral:rRNA from 1 species
CCAGAGAACUUAGCAGAGAUGCUUUGGUGCCUUCGGGAACUCUGAGACAGGUGCUGCAUGGCUGUCGUCAGCUCGUGUUGUGAAAUGUUGGGUUAAGUCCCGCAAGAGCGCAACCCUUAUCCUUUGUUGCCAGCGGUCCGGCCGGGAACUCAAAGGAGACUGCCAGUGAUAAACUGGAGGAAGGUGGGGAUGACGUCAAGUCAUCAUGGCCCUUACGAGUAGGGCUACACACGUGCUACAAUGGCGCAUACAAAGAGAAGCGACCUCGCGAGAGCAAGCGGACCUCAUAAAGUGCGUCGUAGUCCGGAUUGGAGUCUGCAACUCGACUCCAUGAAGUCGGAAUCGCUAGUAAUCGUAGAUCAGAAUGCUACGGUGAAUACGUUCCCGGGCCUUGUACACACCGCCCGUCACACCAUGGGAGUGGGUUGCAAAAGAAGUAGGUAGCUUAACCUUCGGGAGGGCGCUUACCACUUUGUGAUUCAUGACUGGGGUGAAGUCGUAACAAGGUAGGCGUAGACGU